rnacentral:tRNA from 1 species
GGGAAGGUGGCUCAGUGGUAGAGCGCUUGCCUUGAAUGCAUGAGGCCCUGGGU